UACGGAGGGUGCAAGCGUUAUCCGGAUUCACUGGGUUUAAAGGGUGCGUAGGUGGGCAGGAAAGUCAGUGGUGAAAUCUCCGGGCUUAACCCGUAAACUGCCGUUGAUACUAUUUGUCUUGAAUAUUGUGGAGGUAAGCGGAAUAUGUCAUGUAGCGGUGAAAUGCUUAGAUAUGACAUAGAACACCAAUUGCGAAGGCAGCUUACUACACAAUGAUUGACGCUGAGGCACGAAGGCGUGGGGAUCAAACAGG
rnacentral:rRNA from 1 species